rnacentral:lncRNA from 1 species
UGGACCCUUUACGCUUAAAUUGGUAACUGAAAUUUCUGCUGUUUUGACAUUUAACAAAAUGAAUGUUCCUUGUUUUUCUCCCCCGAGGAGCAUGGCCAACAUAGAGGACAUGGGUGUUGUUUACUUGGACUUGGGUUCAAUCCAAUUGAAUCGCUAACGUGAGAACCAGGUGCACCUCCGGGACAGGUACCACGUCCUGCGAAAUCUUUCCAUUCAGACAGUCUAAUUGGCCUACAACGACAGCAAACGCAAUCAGUGGUUUGCAAUCAAUUGCUCGUGAUAUACACACUUGAGACGACCUUGGCACUGCAAUUGAGGAAUGCCAUUUUUGUGCACUUGAGUUUCACUUGCCCUCUCCAAUAAAUGCACUCUGGCCGGAUAUGUAGCUGCUUUAUUUCAGUCGAUGUCCCUCUUACCACUUCCGACUUUGAGCAUUUGAACGCCCGAAGCUGUUCUUAAUGGAGCUGAAUUCUCGAGAAGCCGAUCUUGUUAUGCAUAGGGAUGGUUUCUGGACUUGAAGUGUCUGCUCGUCAAAAGUACAGACUGCUUGCAUGGUUUCAGAAGCAAUGUGUAUUGGAAACAGAUGGUUUGCUUUGUCGGGGAAAAGUCGCGCUCAGCUGAAAUCUGCGUUCUUCAAUUCCCACUUUAGAAUUAUGUUUACAUGAUCAUAGCACUGAAUUCUUCGCGGUUGCGAAUCCUCGUCUAAGUAGCCAAGCCCACGAGCAAUGUCUUCACAGAUUUUGGACGGCGUUGGCCAACGCGUUUGUUACCUGGUCGUGGACGACACAUAAGUGGCAAUGAAUGCUGUAUCGACAAACUUUUGAGAGUCAGUAGAACAGAUUGGAGUGUUCUGUUAUGUGAAGAGCAAAUUACUAGGAGCAUCUAAUCGGGAGAUUUGAAACCAUCAUGAGGCAAAAAUAUUGUUCCAAUAACAUCAACAUCGGAAACAGAGAAGGUCGAGAAACAACUGAAAGUUGGAGAGGAAGCG